CAAAAAGAAAAGAGAACUGCCUGUAUUUUCAGAUUUAUUUCUGAACUGAUAAAUUUGUCAAGAGUAGAUCAUAUGUAUGAAACAAUCCAUUUCAAUUGUCAUAUUUUUAAUUAAAAAAGUCAAAAGCAACUAUCACCAUUUAUAGCUCGUUCCAAGGAAACGAUGAAUUCAAAGUACAGUUCAAGAUGUAAACACAACCAUAAACCUGUGAAACUUCUUUGACUUUUCACCCUAAGUAGAGAACAACAAAUUUUGAAAUACUGUCAUUUCCUUCAAGACGUAAAUUUUUGUUCGACUGUAAUAAAACAUGGGAUGGAAUAUGAGUCAUCCUCACUUGUCUGAUUGUGGAGGUUGUUUGAAUGGGUUGUUCGUAGUUCAGCCCUAUGCUGUUUUCGUGGACCAGGUCUUAGAAUAAUUGUGUUCUGAUAGUGAACAGGACAUCUAUCUAUAUAAACCCCACCCUGGUGCAUCUGUGGAUCCAGCUAUCUUCCUUUCUCUUCCUUUUGCUUUUUUUUUUCUGUUGUUGUUGUUAAUGUGAAGCUCUGAGAAGUGUAACACUUCAUAUAUGAUUCAUGACAACUUUAAAGUUAAUGCUGACACUUAAGUCCUUGUUGCCCAAGAGCUACUAACUUAAUUAGAGAGUGCUGUGCUGGAAUUAGUAUAGAAAUAAAAUACCUCUUCAGAGAAAUUUCAGUGACUAAAAUUACAGAACAAGAGGAAAAUGGAAAAUAACAUCUACAGGCCUGUUUCUCUCCACCGACUCCAAAGGAGUGUAGGAUGACUAGUAGGGUCGUACAUGUCCAAUUGAAGACAUCUAAAGUUAUCUGAUAUGAUCUCCCCUUUGUAAUUUGAAAAUUAACCUUUGGUAUCCCUAGUGAAUAGUCAUUGAAUUUCAAAACAGAUGAUUUCAAAUUUUCUUUUGUUUGAUCUUGUUUGCUUGUUGGUUUUUGUUUCUUUUUCUUCUCUUCUCUUCUCUUCUCUUCUCUUCUCUUCUCUUCUCUUCUCUUCUCUUCUCUUCUCUUCUCUUCUCUU
rnacentral:lncRNA from 1 species